UUUAGUUGAAGGGCCGCGGUAUUUUGACCGUGCAAAGGUAGCAUAAUCAUUAGUUCUUUAAUUGUGAUCUGGAAUGAAUGGCUUGACGAGAUGCGAGCUGUCUUAAAUUUGAAUGUUUUAUUGAAUUUGGUUUUUGAGUUAAAAUUCUUAAAUGUUUUUAUGGGACGAGAAGACCCUAUAGAGUUUGACAUGUUGGCUUUCUUGUUUAUUUGUCGUUUGUUUUAUUUUUGAUAAGUGGGCUUUAUGUUUUGUUGGGGUGAUGAGAGGAAUAUGAUUUAACUCCUCUUGGUUUAGUGGUUAUAUUGA
rnacentral:rRNA from 1 species